CAGCCGCCACGGUAAUACGUAGGGUGCGAGUGUUAAUCGGAAUUACUGGGCGUAAAGCGUGCGCAGGCGGUUAUAUAAUACAGAUGUGAAAUCCCCGGGCUCAACCUGGGAACUGUAUUUGAGACUGUAUGGCUAGAGUGUGUCAGAGGGGGGUAGAAUUCCACGUGUAGCAGUGAAAUGCGUAGAUAUGUGGAGGAAUACCGAUGGCGAAGGCAGCCCCCUGGGAUAACACUGACGCUCAUGCACGAAAGCGUGGGGAGCAAACAGGAUUAGAUACCCCGGUAGUCCCUGUCUUUAUACA
rnacentral:rRNA from 1 species